AGAGUUUGAUCAUGGCUCAGAUUGAACGCUGGCGGCAUGCCUUACACAUGCAAGUCGAACGGCAGCACGGGGGCAACCCUGGUGGCGAGUGGCGAACGGGUGAGUAAUACAUCGGAACGUGUCCAGUCGUGGGGGAUAACCAGUCGAAAGAUUGGCUAAUACCGCAUGCGAUCGAAAGAUGAAAGCGGGGGACCGCAAGGCCUCGCGCUAUUGGAGCGGCCGAUGUCAGAUUAGCUUGUUGGUGGGGUAAAAGCCCACCAAGGCGACGAUCUGUAGCUGGUCUGAGAGGACGACCAGCCACACUGGGACUGAGACACGGCCCAGACUCCUACGGGAGGCAGCAGUGGGGAAUUUUGGACAAUGGGCGCAAGCCUGAUCCAGCCAUGCCGCGUGCGGGAAGAAGGCCUUCGGGUUGUAAACCGCUUUUGUCAGGGAAGAAACGCUUUGGGCUAAUACCCCGAGGUAAUGACGGUACCUGAAGAAUAAGCACCGGCUAACUACGUGCCAGCAGCCGCGGUAAUACGUAGGGUGCAAGCGUUAAUCGGAAUUACUGGGCGUAAAGCGUGCGCAGGCGGUUAUGCAAGACAGAUGUGAAAUCCCCGGGCUCAACCUGGGAACUGCAUUUGUGACUGUAUAGCUAGAGUGCGGUAGAGGGGGAUGGAAUUCCGCGUGUAGCAGUGAAAUGCGUAGAUAUGCGGAGGAACACCGAUGGCGAAGGC
rnacentral:rRNA from 1 species